CGCUGCUAAGGACUGAGCCGUUCUCACUGGGCGACCUGCUGGAGGUAACCAUGGCAACAAGGGAGGCGAGAUAAAGAAACAGAGGCCCAGAGAAGGAAAGGGGACUUCUCCACCCUUCCACUAAGAGUUACCUCUGUACCAUGCUGCUCUUGCUGGCUCAUCUACCAUCACAUACUUUGAAGCUACAGGACUGGGUGACCUUUCCAGAUCUUCCUUCAUCCUGUCUUUACUCACUUGGGCUCUUCUGUAUUGAGAAAGGAGGCCCCUCCUUGACCCAGCAUGGCUCACGAUGAGCCUGUGUUUACUUCUCUUUUUAGCACCAGACUUAAGCUCUGAUCUAUCACUCCAUGGGAAGAUCUUCAUCUCAGAGCUCUCUCUGAGGUUAGCCGUCACUUGGCACCUGGGUCAGCUUUCCCCAGGAGUAGGCAGAAUAAGAGGAGAAGCUGGCCUGCCGAGCCUCAUUCCACCCACACAAAAAGAGUGUCUUUCCUUUGAUUGGAGCCAGGGAGACAGAGAUGCCCAGGUCACUGCCCAGAUCCUAAAUGAAGCAUCACGGAACCUUUGGCUACCCUGGAAACAGCACUAUGGAGGCUAGCCAACCAGUGUAAAAGGACAGAAUGCUGGUUUGGCCAGUCUUUCCUGGGUAAAUGCACUGCUCUCAUUGGUGGCUUUUCUCGGAGCUCCCAGAACCCUUUGGUUUGGCACAGCACCUGAUGAACUUAAUCAGGUGAUGUUGUAUGACACAGUCAUCUGCAUUGCAAUCACAUUCCUCUACUUGUCUGUAACCUCCAUGAGAGCAAGGUCUGGGUCUCAUUUUAAUUUGACAUCUCUUCCCCUCCCCCCAACCCAGUGCCUUGUCCAGUGCCCUGGCUGCACUAGG